rnacentral:rRNA from 1 species
UACGAAGGGGGCUAGCGUUGCUCGGAAUUACUGGGCGUAAAGCGCACGUAGGCGGUCUUUUAAGUCGGGGUGAAAUCCUGGAGCUCAACUCCAGAACUGCCUCGAUACUGGAAGACUCGAGUCCGGGAGAGGUGAGUGGAACUGGCGAGUGUAGAGGUGAAAUUCGUAAGAUAUUCGCAAGAACACCAAGUGGCGAAGGCGGCCCACUGGCCCGGUACUGACGCUGAGGCGCGAAAGCG